rnacentral:ribozyme from 1 species
ACUACUCGUAAUAAUCACACACCUCUCCGUGGUGAGUAGCAGGCAACGAUCUUAUGGUCGGCGAAGAUGUGGUU